rnacentral:rRNA from 1 species
AUUGAACGCUGGCGGCAUGCUUUACACAUGCAAGUCGAACGGUAACAGGGUGCUUGCACCGCUGACGAGUGGCGAACGGGUGAGUAAUGCGUCGGAACGUGCCGAGUAGUGGGGGAUAACGCAGCGAAAGUUGUGCUAAUACCGCAUACGUACUGAGGUAGAAAGUGGGGGACCUUCAGGCCUCACGCUAUUCGAGCGGCCGACGUCUGAUUAGCUAGUAGGUGAGGUAAAGGCUCACCUAGGCGACGAUCAGUAGCGGGUCUGAGAGGAUGAUCCGCCACACUGGGACUGAGACACGGCCCAGACUCCUACGGGAGGCAGCAGUGGGGAAUUUUGGACAAUGGGCGAAAGCCUGAUCCAGCCAUGCCGCGUGUCUGAAGAAGGCCUUCGGGUUGUAAAGGACUUUUGUCGGGGAGGAAAUCCCCAGCGUUAAUACCGCUGGGGGAUGACAGUACCUGAAGAAUAAGCACCGGCUAACUACGUGCCAGCAGCCGCUGUAAUAC